UCGUACAGACCCAGGUCUUCGGGCCGACCCCUGCCGUCUGCUCUGUUCAAGUUCUCCAACUGUAAAUAAUACAUCAGCCCUCUUCCUCGGUGCUCCUCUCCCUUUCCCCUGCCACGGUGGCUUCUGUUACAACCACAUGUCCCAAGUCUCCUGCAAGGUCUUUUGAUAAAGUGAGUGAUGAAAUAGUUUAGGCUGCGUGGUAAACUCGAAUGAGCUCUUACCAACCUCCUUACCUCCUCUGUCUGCCACACUGGUGUAUCGUUGUCAGAAGAAUAAGGCCAACUGGUUUUUCCUCUCAUCUUUGCAGGAACAUCAGCAGUGAGAGGAACCGACUAUGCCCAGGGGUGGAAAUAGGACAACUCCUUCCCAGGACACCUUCCAGGGGCCAUUGGCAGAUUCUGUCAUCAAGUCAUUCGUGGAUGUUGCAUACUGAACAGGGGGAGCCACGUGUCCGGUUUGCUUGAGAAGGUUUAAGCUGCAAAGACGUAAGAACAAGGAAGCUGCUUUAUGGAGUUUCUGCUGCAGAAGCCUGGGUUCGGCUGUUCCCCCAUCUUCCUUUACGGCGGCCCAGAAAAUGUUCAUGAUAAAGACGGUUGGCUGAGGGGGGAGUGGUUAAUCAUUCUGUUUCCCGAGGUUCAAUUUCUCCUUUCAGGCUUGCUGGGUAACUCUUUAUCAGGUACUUUUCAUUAAAAGUAUCACUCAUUUUCAUUAUAAUUCACUGAUGCUGGCAAAACAUUUUUACCUUUUCAUCCAAAAUUCCUGAGGCAGUUGAUACACUUGAUAAUCCGAGAACAACAAAUAAAGGCCUCUUUUCACCC
rnacentral:lncRNA from 1 species